CCAAACCUCUCUCUCUCUCUCUCCCUCUGCCAUGACUGCCGGCAACCUCGACGACGCGGGAUGAAAAGGUAAUGGCUCCAGCGUCAUUGGAAAUCCAAGGCUUCGGCCGUCAGCGAUAGGACGCGAGUACAAGACGUCGAUAAUGGCUGAUGGGCAAGAAAGAACGAGAUGCAAGCCAUCACCGACGCCUGCAUCAUCGAAAGAUGAUAAUAGCUGCCGGCCUCUAACAAUCACAGUGUUACAUCUUUUAAGCAAACGGGUGGUACUCUUUGCUGGAUGUAUAUGUCGCCAUGGAUUAACCGCUCAAAAAGCUUCUUUGCAUUCAAGUGUUUUGUUAGAUUUACUAAGAGAAUGAUGAAGCUUGUUGGUUUCCAUCAUAUUCAUCAGGGUUUUAAUUCUUCUGAGUGAGAUUUUUCUUAACACUUUUCUUGUUAUUAAUUGAUCAUGGAAUUAUUGUUUUAAAUUUUAAGGAUCUUAUUUGAUUAUAUUGGGGGUUGAUAUGUGGAGAUUCUUUUCUUCCCUUUUAGUUAUAAUACCAUGCAUUUACCAUUUUUUAUGGUUCAACAUAUGUACUUGCUGUUUUUUUUUUUUACUUGUCCAUCAUGU